AUCCUCCAAGGCUAAAUACUCCUGACUGACCGAUAGUGAACCAGUACCGUGAGGGAAAGGCGAAAAGAACCCCGGCGAGGGGAGUGAAAAAGAACCUGAAACCGUGUACGUACAAGCAGUGGGAGCACGCUUAGGCGUGUGACUGCGUACCUUUUGUAUAAUGGGUCAGCGACUUAUAUUCUGUAGCAAGGUUAACCGAAUAGGGGAGCCGAAGGGAAACCGAGUCUUAACUGGGCGUUAAGUUGCAGGGUAUAGACCCGAAACCCGGUGAUCUAGCCAUGGGCAGGUUGAAGGUUGGGUAACACUAACUGGAGGACCGAACCGACUAAUGUUGAAAAAUUAGCGGAUGACUUGUGGCUGGGGGUGAAAGGCCAAUCAAACCGGGAGAUAGCUGGUUCUCCCCGAAAGCUAUUUAGGUAGCGCCUCGUGAAUUCAUCUCCGGGGGUAGAGCACUGUUUCGGCAAGGGGGUCAUCCCGACUUACCAACCCGAUGCAAACUGCGAAUACCGGAGAAUGUUAUCACGGGAGACACACGGCGGGUGCUAACGUCCGUCGUGAAGAGGGAAACAACCCAGACCGCCAGCUAAGGUCCCAAAGUCAUGGUUAAGUGGGAAACGAUGUGGGAAGGCCCAGACAGCCAGGAUGUUGGCUUAGAAGCAGCCAUCAUUUAAAGAAAGCGUAAUAGCUCACUGGUCGAGUCGGCCUGCGCGGAAGAUGUAACGGGGCUAAACCAUGCACCGAAGCUGCGGCAGCGACGCUUAUGCGUUGUUGGGUAGGGGAGCGUUCUGUAAGCCUGCGAAGGUGUGCUGUGAGGCAUGCUGGAGGUAUCAGAAGUGCGAAUGCUGACAUAAGUAACGAUAAAGCGGGUGAAAAGCCCGCUCGCCGGAAGACCAAGGGUUCCUGUCCAACGUUAAUCGGGGCAGGGUGAGUCGACCCCUAAGGCGAGGCCGAAAGGCGUAGUCGAUGGGAAACAGGUUAAUAUUCCUGUACUUGGUGUUACUGCGAAGGGGGGACGGAGAAGGCUAUGUUGGCCGGGCGACGGUUGUCCCGGUUUAAGCGUGUAGGCUGGU
rnacentral:rRNA from 1 species